rnacentral:rRNA from 1 species
ACGGAGGGUGCAAGCGUUAAUCGGAAUCACUGGGCGUAAAGCGCACGUAGGCGGUCUUGUAAGUCAGACGUGAAAGCCCUCGGCUCAACCGGGGAAUUGCGUUUGAUACUGCUCGACUUGAGUAUCGGAGAGGGUGGCGGAAUUCCAGGUGUAGGAGGGAAAUCCGGAGAUAUGUGGAGGAGGACCGGAGGCGGGGGCGGCCAACGGGACGAAUACUGACGCUGAGGUGCGAAAGCGUGGGGAGGGAACAG